rnacentral:rRNA from 1 species
GACGAACGCUGGCGGCGUGCUUAACACAUGCAAGUCGAGCGGAAAGGCCCUUCGGGGUACUCGAGCGGCGAACGGGUGAGUAACACGUGAGUAAUCUGCCCUUGGCUUUGGGAUAACUACCGGAAACGGUGGCUAAUACCGGAUACGACAACCGUCUGCAUGGGCUGGUUGUGGAAAGUUUUUUCGGCCAGGGAUGUGCUCGCGGCCUAUCAGCUUGUUGGUGGGGUAAUGGCCUACCAAGGCUUCGACGGGUAGCCGGCCUGAGAGGGUGACCGGCCACACUGGGACUGAGACACGGCCCAGACUCCUACGGGAGGCAGCAGUGGGGAGUAUUGGACAAUGGGCGGAAGCCUGAUCCAGCAACGCCGCGUGAGGGAUGACGGCCUUAGGGUUGUAAACCUCUUUCAGUACCGACGAAGCGCCGAUGAUGGUGGUGACGGUAGGUACAGAAGAAGCACCGGCCAACUACGUG